UCAUGUCGCGUUGAAACACUGGUUCGCAUACGGCCACCGAAGUUAAGCAACUUCGAGUCUGGUAAGUACCGAAAUGGUUGACCGCGUGCGAAAAUCCGUUGCUGUAAG